GCUCGGGCUCGGAGGAAAGCAUUUUAGACCUGAGGUAUCGACGAAGGGCCAUCAACAGGGAUGACCAGGAGCAGGACGCCUUGGGCAGUGACGCCAGUGACUUCAGUGACACCUCCACGGAGGACAGUGGCGGCAGCUCAGUAGUGAAGGUCUAAGCCCUCGAGCUGUGGGUUCGCGUCCUGGGUUCCGUGCAUUCGUGGAAAGCGGCGUAGCUGUGCGUGUAGCUGUGCGUGUAUGUGAUGGUUCCAUGGCUGCAAGGAGGGGAAACAGUCUAUUAUACAUAGCCCUGUAUAUAUGUACACCAACAUGAAACUUUUAUUUAACAGACGUGUCCUGGUAAAUAUGAUUUUUGUAGCUUUUUGUAAAUUAUUUAAAGUGAUGUAAAAAAUAUUUUUGGAAAAUACUGUUGUUCAAUUUUGUAGGGUGUUCCUAACUGCAGUUUUGUGUGUUCUGCAUACAAGUCUUAGAUUAGAAAACAUUUGGUUCUUAUCAUCACAGCCAGCUUCACAGAGGCUCUGAUGCUUUUUGGUUGAUUGCUGGUGGGAAUGGCCGGCAGUGAUCCACACAGAUGUCAGCGGCAGCUGCUCUGCAGCCCAGCCCUGGGCCUGGGUGGGUUCAUGUCCAAUCUUGUUCGAUCACUAGAUGAUUCUAACAUCGAAAUAAACGGAGAAUCGCUUGAACCCAAGAGGUGGAGGUGGCAGUGAGCUGAGAUCGUGCCAUUGCACUCCAGCCUGGGUGACAAGAGUGAA
rnacentral:lncRNA from 1 species